CAGUCGCCGCGGUAAUACGAAGGGGGCUAGCGUUGCUCGGAAUUACUGGGCGUAAAGGGAGCGUAGGCGGAUGUUUAAGUCAGAGGUGAAAGCCCAGGGCUCAACCUUGGAACUGCCUUUGAUACUGGACAUCUUGAGUGUGGGAGAGGUAAGCGGAACUCCGAGUGUAGAGGUGAAAUUCGUAGAUAUUCGGAAGAACACCAGUGGCGAAGGCGACUCUCUGGUCUGUAACUGACGCUGAGGAGCGAAAGCGUGGGGAGCGAACAGGAUUAGAUACCCGAGUAGUCCCUGUCUCUUAUAC
rnacentral:rRNA from 1 species